rnacentral:rRNA from 1 species
UACGAGGGGGGCAAGCGUUGUUCGGAAUUACUGGGCGUAAAGGGCGCGUAGGCGGUUGGGUUUGUCAAAUGUGAAAGCCCUCGGCUUAACCGAGGAAGUGCAUUUGAAACGGCUCAACUUGAGUUCGGGAGAGGAGAGCGGAAUUCCCAGUGUAGCGGUGAAAUGCUUAGAUAUUGGGAGGAACACCGGUGGCGAAGGCGGCUCUCUGGACCGAUACUGACGCUGAGGCGCGAGAGCUAGGGGAG